rnacentral:rRNA from 1 species
AAUCAACGCUGGCGGCGUGCCUCAGACAUGCAAGUCGAACGAUUAAAGCUCUCUUCGGAGAGUGUAUAGAGUGGCGCACGGGUGAGUAACACGUAAGUAAUCUACCUUUGAGUGGGGAAUAACAGUCGGAAACGACUGCUAAUACCGCAUAAUGCAGCGGCAUCGCAAGAUGACAGUUGUUAAAGGAGCAAUCCGCUUAAAGAGGAGCUUGCGGCAGAUUAGCUUGUUGGUAAGGUAACGGCUUACCAAGGCUACGAUCUGUAUCCGGUCUAAGAGGACGGUCGGACACACUGACACUGAAUAACGGGUCAGACUCCUACGGGAGGCAGCAGUCGGGAAUUUUGGGCAAUGGGCGGAAAGCCUGACCACGCAACGCCGCGUGAAGGAUGAAGUAUUUCGGUAU